AUGACCUCUUCAGGCAAAUACUUGAACAGGUUGGCUUUGUACUUGGUAAUGUAUUUGGGGUGUAUCUGGCUCAGAACUAUGAUGUUCCAAACAUUGCAAGAAAGUUUGAAGAAAUCAAGAAAGAUGUGGAAGCUAGGAAGAAGCCCCCAAAUGACAAAUGAUGUUGAUGAAGCCAUCUGUGUAAUAGGUGUAGAUGAUGUAGCUUUGCUUUUGGGACACAGGUACCAACCUGUAACAUCGUUUUUCUGGAUUCCCUCCAAGGCUAAUUGUGGAAGACCUUGACUGGAAGCAUCACCUCAUCCUUAGGACCUUCCAGUGCUUUCCGAAUAUUUGACCUUUGUUUUAACCUUACAUAAUAAGAAAACAGAUCCAGAGAGAGGAAUUGGACUUUUGUUCUCAGUGUAUUUACACAGUACUUACUUUAUAUUCAGUAUUAAUGUGUCAUGGGUGUAGAAUAAUGAAAUUCAUUUUGUUAUUCAAACCCAACAAACUAAUAGCCUGGCUGUAACAGCGGUUCAUGGAAGAAAUCAGAAGGGAACCGCAAACUAGUACCCAAAGAUUCUCCCCCUUCCCAAAUGUAUUUGGGAGCACAACUAUACAACCCUUUUGUACAACCUCUUUAUAAUGUACUAAAUUACUGAUUAAAACCAAUGAAUACCCUGCCCCCUGAAGUGAAUGCUUUCUGAUUUCAAACUUUGUGGGAUCUCACGCUGUGCAUAGUAAGUUGUCCUGUCCCAUGCAAAACAAAUGUGAAAUAUUGAGUCUAUCAGAGAAAGAGUUGUGAAAUACGGUCCACUCCAUAAGGUGGUAGCAUCAUCAUCUUAGAACUGCAGAGCUAGAAGGGACCUGUCCAGCCCCUCUCAAGGAGGCACAGUAGGAAAUUGAACUCCCAACCUUUGGCUCUGCAGCCAGAUAGCUAAAUCACUGUGGUAUCCAGCAGUUCUGUAUAGGUGAUAUGAUGAUCUUGCUUCACUCAUUUCUCUGUUUCUCUGGCAUUCUAUUCUAUAAAUUGGCUGUGAAAAUUCCUUUGUUGGGUUUAUCAUCUGAUCUAACAUUAGCAGAAGCCUGCACUGCAGUGUGAUUGUCAAAGUCUGCAUUAGUCCGGAUAAAAUUCUUAUUACCUUUGUCCCGUGUCCUUCUGUGCCACUGCCACGCAUAGAAAGGUAAUGUGAUAAUGAUCUAUUCAGACAAUGGUUCCCAACCUUGCGUGACCCAGAUAUUCUUGGAUGGCAAUUCCCAGAAGCCUUCUUCACCAGCUGUGAUGAAAAACAUGUGAGUUGCCCAAGUUUGGAAACCACUGAAUUAAGGCAUACCCAUGCUUGCAACUCUUUAUGUAUUUCCUUUUGUGUGCUAACAUGUUUUCUCUCUUCCAUCUCUUUAUGCCUGCUCCAUCCCAGUGAAAAUACUAAUACAGUGGUGCCUCGCUAGAUGAUUACCUCGCAAAAUGGUUAAUCCACAAUGAUUAUAUUUACAGUGGUGCCUCGCAUAACGAGCGCACCGUUUAACAAUGAAUCCGCAUAGCGGUUUCCAAUGGACAAAAAUUGCUUUGCGACGAUCGGUAAGCGUUUCGCUUACCGAUUUUCGCAUAGCAAUUUUUUAAAAACAGCUGAUCGGCGGUUCCAAAAUGGCUGCCGGACACCCAAAAUGGCCACGCGCAGCAUUUUCGCACCCUGCCCUCACUUACCGAGGGCACGAAAAUGGCGGCGCUAUGGAGAAACUUCGCUGAACGGUGAGUUUGGGCCCCAUUGGAACACAUUUCGCUAGAUGAUGUUUCAGUUCAUGCUUCACAAGACGUUUUUCUUUCGGGAUGGUUUUUCACAAGCCAACGAUUUUGACAGCUGAGUCUGCGCUUUGCAAAAUGGGUCUUUUAGGGACGGUUUUUUGCAAGACAGUGAUUUUGACAGCUGGGUCUGCGCUUCGCAAAACAGUUUUCCUAUGGGCGAUUUCCGAAGAUGAUGAUUUUUCCCCAUUGGAACGCAUUAAAUAGAUUUCAGUGCAUUCCAAUGGGGAACCGCAUUUCGCAAGACGAUGUUUUCACAAGACAGCAAUUUUUGCGGAACGAAUUAACAUCAUCUUGCGAGGCACCACUGUACUGAGAUUCAGCAGAAUGAGAGAGAUUGUGUUGUGGCAGGAUGGAGUUGUUGAAAGAGUAGUGGCAUUUUCUGACAAUGGAAAUCUACUCCCAAUAAGUUUCUGGUGAACUUUGUGACUGUAUAUACCUUUUAGAAAUGGAACAUUUCCUGUCAAAUAUUUGUGACAAAACUUUCCAUGAACUUUUUUUUGUCCGUAUCAGUACUAGCAAUGACCCAGGCAGAAAGAAGUUAGCUUCUUUGUGUCCUUGGCUCAAGCAGUGUGCCCACCACCUGGAUUCCCAUAUUUCCCUAGACAGACUUCCAAGGCAUCAGUGUUAAUAUUUUAUGAAUUGUAACCAGCAGGUGUGGUGAAUUAUCUUCUGAAACAGAUGAAUGGAAUUGGUAGUGCAAGUUGGCUGUUGCCAUUGUAAAUACUGGCAGUUUCCUCUGAGCUGUUGAAAACAUUUGGAUGACCACAAACUGUGCAUAUAUCCAGAAGGUGUAGAAUAGUUAGUAAACAUUAAAGCACUGGUAAUAAUUUAAGAAAAAGUGUCUUCACAGGGAGUUAAAUGUGAGGAUGCUGCCUUGAUUGAGUUUUCAAUUUUGAAUAUAGGCAGUAGUCCAGCCUAUAGAAACCAACUCCAUUCUCUGUUGGAUUUUGGUCCCAGAGGAAGACCACAGCUGCAAUGCAAGGAUAUCUGCAAGGGGGAUAUGAAGGCCUUAGGAAUGGACCUCAACAGAUGGGAAACCUUGACAUCUGAGCAUUCAGCCUAUAGGCAGGCGGUGUAUCACGGCCUCUCCCAAUUCGAAGAGACCCUUGUCCAGCAGGCCGAGGCAAAGAGGCAGUCACGAAACCAGCAAAAGCAGCUGGACAGGGGACAGAUUGGUUUUGUCUUCAGUGUCCCCCAUGCAGAGCACGUUUGGUCACUGCACACUUUUACACAUUUGAUGCUGGUUUUGAGCUUUUGUUCAUGAAAUAAAAGGGCUUAGCGUUAAGUCA
ensembl:lncRNA